GAGAAAAAAGCAUAUAUGCGGUUGACUUGAAAUCAACAGAUGGUGGUAUAAAGUGCAGCCUUUUCUC
rnacentral:tRNA from 1 species